rnacentral:rRNA from 1 species
AUUGAACGCUGGCGGCAUGCCUAACACAUGCAAGUCGAGCGGAUGAAGGGAGCUUGCUCCUGGAUUCAGCGACGGACGGGUGAGUAAUGCCUAGGAAUCUGCCUGGUAGUGGGGGAUAACGUCCGUAAACGGGCGCUAAUACCGCAUACGUCCUGAGAGAGAAAGUGGUGGAUCUUCAGACCUCACGCUAUCAGAUGAGCCUAGGUCGGAUUAGCUAGUUGGUGGGGUAAAGGCCUACCAAGGCGACGAUCCGUAACUGGUCUGAGAGGAUGAUCAGUCACACUGGAACUGAGACACGGUCCAGACUCCUACGGGAGGCAGCAGUGGGGAAUAUUGGACAAUGGGCGAAAGCCUGAUCCAGCCAUGCCGCGUGUGUGAAGAAGGUCUUCGGAUUGUAAAGCACUUUAAGUUGGGAGGAAGGGAAGUAAGUUAAUACCUUGCUGUUUUGACGUUACCAAAAGAAUAAGCAACGGCUAACUUCGUG